AUAAAGUUUUAUUUUAGCUUUAAAAUUUAAUUGAUUUUUUUUUUGUAUGCAUGAUUUUUUACUGAUUUAGAUGAUUUUUUUUGCAGUAUUUAAUAUUAUAAAUUUAGGAAACUGAGAUUUAGAAAAUUUUCUUAAUAUUAACAAAAGUUGUGCCAGCAGUUGCGGUUAUACAAUUGAUAUGAUUAAAUUUUUUUAGUAUAUAAUUAAUUUUUAUUUAUUUAUUUAUUGAAUUUUAAGUUUUUUAAGUGAAAUUUUAAAUUUAAAUUGAAUAUAAUUUAAGUAUUUAUGAUAUUUAUUAAAUUUAUUUUUAAACUAGGAUUAGAUACCCUAUUAUUUUAAAUGUAAAUUUUUUUACUUAAUUAGUAUUAGCUAUUUUCUUGAAAAUUAAAGAAUUUGGCGGUAUUUUAGUCUUUUCAGAGGAACCUGUUCUGUAAUUGAUAGUCCACGAUUUAAUUUACUUGGUUUAGAAGCUUGUAUAUCGUCGUUUUUGAUUAUUUUAAAAGAAUAUUAAUGAUCAAUAUUUUAUAUAAAAAUGUAAAUCAGAUCAAGGUGCAGUUUAUAAUUAAGAAGAAAUGGGUUACAAUAAAUUUAUUUAUAUGGUUUAAGGAUUGAAAAAUUUCUUUUUAAAGUGGAUUUGGAAGUAAUAAUUUUAAAUUAAAUUUUAUGAUUAAGGCUCUAAAAUAUGUACAUAUUGCCCGUCACUCUCAUUAUUUUGAGAUAAGUCGUAACAGAGUAGAUGUACUGGAAAGUGUAUCUAGAAUGAU
rnacentral:ncRNA from 1 species